rnacentral:rRNA from 14 species
AGACAACCAGGAGGUUUGCCUAGAAGCAGCCAUCCUCAAAGGAGUGCGUAAUAGCUCACUGGUCGAGCGAUCCUGCGCCGAAAAUGAACGGGGCUAAGCGUUGUACCGAAGCUGCGGAUUAAAGUGUUCUUAUGAACAUUGUAAUGGUAGGGGAGCGUUCCAUGUGGGGUGAAGCGUUAGCGUAAGCGGGCGUGGACUGCAUGGAAGUGAGAAUGUCGGCUUGAGUAGCGAAAACAUGGGUGAGAAUCCCAUGCCCCGAAACCCUAAGGGUUCCUCCGGCAGGCUCGUCCGCGGAGGGUUAGUCAGGACCUAAGGCGAGGCCGAAAGGCGUAGUCGAUGGAUAACAGGUCAACAUUCCUGUACCGGUUAUGUUUUGGGAAGAGGGACGGAGAAGGCUAGCCAAGCCAGAUGUUGGUUACUGGUUCAAGCGUUCGAGGCGUUGAGGAGCGGUGAAAACGUUCCGAGCUGAGGCGUGAGUACGAGCUCCUACGGGAGCGAAGUUGGUGAUGUCAUGCUUCCAAGAAAAGCUCUAUACCCGUUAAGGCAUAACUGCCAGUACCCGAAACCGACACAGGUGGGGUGGUAGAGAAUACCGAGGGGCGCGAGGUAACUCUCUCUAAGGAACUCGGCAAAAUGACCCCGUAACUUCGGGAGAAGGGGUGCCACCGCAAGGUGGUCGCAGUGAAGAGGCCCUGGCGACUGUUUACCAAAAACACAGGUCUCCGCUAAGUCGCAAGACGAUGUAUGGGGGCUGACGCCUGCCCAGUGCCGGAAGGUUAAGGAAGCCGGUCAGCGUAAGCGAAGCUGGCGACUGAAGCCCCGGUGAACGGCGGCCGUAACUAUAACGGUCCUAAGGUAGCG